GCCCAGGGGGGGAGGCGUGAACCGGGACCCAGCGCGGCGGCAGCAACCUCUCUCCGCCCUUCCAGCGACAUGGACCCCCAGACGACGCUGCCCCGGGCGUUCCUGCUCCUCCUGUGCUUGCACCUGUCGCCGCCGGGCUGUCGCUCCUCCCCGCUAGGUGGCCCCGGCCCGGCCUCGGGACUGCGCGGGAGACAGGAGCUGCUGGGCCGUCUACGAGGCAGGGUCUUGGAGCUGCAGGCCGGGCAGAUGGACCUGGACCCCCUCCAGCAGGGCCACGGCCUCGCAGAAGCCUGGGAGACCCGGGCGGCCGCCCCCGCGGGGCUCCUCGGGCCCGGCAACAGCGUCCUCCAGGCCCUGCGGGGAAUACGCAGCCCCAGGAUGAUGCGCGACUCCGGCUGCUUCGGGCGGAGGCUGGACCGGAUCGGCUCCGUCAGCGGCCUGGGCUGCAAUGGUGAACACCCACCCCAUUCCCACCGCGUGCCGCCUGUCUGGGUUUGACGUCUCUGGGGGCCAAACUCUGAGCGAAGGACACCUGGGUAUCACUCUCGCUGACAGUCCUCAGGGUCAAGGAGCGCCUUUCUGGGAAUAUUAAAUUUUGACAACAUUCAUUACCAUGCCUUGCUGAGGUGGUAUUAAGAGAAGGUCCUGGCUGCAUCUGAUUCUCCCUCAACCCCCUGCUCCCCUUUGAAGCAACUCCUAUUUAUUUUUACUUAUUUAUUUAUUUAUUUGGUUGUUUUAUGUAAGAUGGUUCUUAUCUUUGAGCACAAAUUUUCCAUGAUGAAAUAAAGUCAAUAUUAUAGCUA